rnacentral:rRNA from 1 species
CCUACGGGAGGCAGCAGUAGGGAAUCUUUCACAAUGGGCGAAAGCCUGAUGGAGCAACGCCGCGUGCAGGAUGAAGGCCUUCGGGUUGUAAACUGCUUUUAUAAGCGAGAAAUAUGAUGGUAACUUAUGAAUAAGGAUCGGCUAACUACGUGCCAGCAGCCGCGGUCAUACGUAGGAUCCGAGCAUUAUCCGGAGUGACUGGGUGUAAAGAGUUGCGUAGGUGGCAUAAUAAGUAGCUAGUGAAAUCUGGUGGCUCAACCAGAGAAUUGCCGUUGAAACUGGGGGGCUUGAGUAUGUUUGAGGCAGGCGGAAUGCGUGGUGUAGCGGUGAAAUGCUUAGAUAUCACGCAGAACCCCGAUUGCGAAGGCAGCCUGCCAAGCCAUGACUGACGCUGAUGCACGAAAGCGUGGGGAUCAAACAGGAUUAGAUACCCCUGUAGUC